rnacentral:rRNA from 1 species
ACGUAGGGGGCAAGCGUUAUCCGGAUUUACUGGGUGUAAAGGGAGCGUAGGUGGUAGUGCAAGUCAGAAGUGAAAACCCAAGGCUUAACCAUGGGAUUGCUUUUGAAACUGCAUAACUAGAGUGCUGGAGAGGUAAGUGGAAUUCCUAGUGUAGCGGUGAAAUGCGUAGAUAUUAGGAGGAACACCGGUGGCGAAGGCGGCUUACUGGACAGUAACUGACACUGAGGCUCGAAAGCGUGGGGAGCAAACAG